UACGUAGGGGGCAAGCGUUGUCCGGAAUUAUUGGGCGUAAAGAGCGUGUAGGCGGUCCGGUAAGUCAGCUGUGAAAGUCAAGGGCUCAACCCUUGAAAGCCGGUUGAUACUGUCGGGCUAGAGUCCGGAAGAGGCGAGUGGAAUUCCCGGUGUAGCGGUGAAAUGCGCAGAUAUCGGGAGGAACACCAAUAGCGAAGGCAGCUCGCUGGGACGGUACUGACGCUAAGGCGCGAAAGCGUGGGGAGCGAACAGG
rnacentral:rRNA from 1 species